GUGGGGAUAGCUCAACGGUUAGAGUAUAAACUUGAAAAGUUUACCGUAAAGGUUCAAUUCCUUUUCCCCACA
rnacentral:tRNA from 1 species